UACAUCUUUAAGAAUACAUGGCUGG
rnacentral:piRNA from 3 species